rnacentral:rRNA from 1 species
UACGUAGGGGGCUAGCGUUGUCCGGAUUUAUUGGGCGUAAAGAGCGUGUAGGCGGCCAGAUAGGUCCGUUGUGAAAACUGGAGGCUUAACCUCCAGCUGUCGAUGGAAACCAUCUGGCUAGAGUCCGGAAGAGGAGAGUGGAAUUCCUGGUGUGGCGGUGAAAUGCGCAGAUAUCAGGAAGAACACCCGUGGCGAAGGCGGCUCUCUGGGACGGUACUGACGCUGAGACGCGAAAGCGUGGGGAGCGAACAGG